rnacentral:lncRNA from 1 species
UUUUCUAAGGGUUUCGUGUCCCUCUUUUAUCCGUCGCAGUGUAAAGGGUCUGAUCCGCAGCCUGCAUUGUGCGCGCACCGAGGCAGGAGCGGAUGUCUUCUGAGGAGAGCGCUGGCUGGGGUUGACUCUCAGGCUCCCGGCUGUCCGCCCGCCCACACGCAGCGAGGAGGGGCGGAGCCCUGCUUCCGGAAUGCUUAAAAUAUGGAAUUCUAGAACAUGACCCACAUUCUGAGUAUCACUCCAGCAUCUGCCUUGUGUUCCAAGUGGGAAAACGAGAAGUGCAAAGGAACAGGCAGCGAGGAGGGUAGCGAUUUUUGUCUGCAAAUUGAUGGAGCUGAUGCAGGUGUCCCCUUUGUAGGCGAGCCCUCCAUUCACUGGCUGCUCCCAGCGCUGCCUGGGGAGGGAAACAGCUGUACUGCUCUCCGCUGCAAAACUCAGAUGUGCUUUAUGGCUUGUGACAAUAGAUUUCCUCCCCACCACGCUUCACUGGGACACUUCAAUUCCAGUAAUAUAUGUCUCAGCCCUUCUGUUUACUGCGCCCUGCUCACCCCCCUGGGCUGUCAUUAGCUGCACCACCAUCAACCGUUUCUUAAUUGACCUUUUUAAAAUGCUGGACAUCACCGGCUGCACGCAGCUGCCACACAUUAAAUUUCCAGAGCAAAGAGUCCAACUUGGUAGCUGGUGAAUUGCAGCCCUGUAAUAUACUUAAUAAAUGACGUCCACCCAGCCUUAGUCCCUGAGCUGUCAGGUGAACCCGUGACACGUCUCAACUGAAUGGCACAACAUUCAUGAGAGGACCAUACCCCUUCUCCCUGUUUCUUGCAUGAAUUAAGGAAGCAGCGGAUUUCCAGGAUGAUUUCCUGUCAAGGUUGGCUGCAGAGAAUUCCUGCCAUCUUGGUUCAUGAGAUGAGAUAUGACAUCAUCAAAGGCAGCCAGGUCCCAGGCCGUUCAAUGGGGAUCCUGCAUUAGGAAGGGUUUGCACAUUAAAACUGUGCCUGUGCCACACCUCUUUCCUUCGUGUUUGCAUCCCUGCCCUGUGAAGUAAAACAGAGUCCAAGAUGCAAGGAGUAGAUUGUGUGUGGGGUGGUGAAAGGACACCCCUGGCAGCCAGGCAGAGCAUCAGUGCCUCCCUUCCCAGGUCACCAGCUUGGGACCUCCUUGUGAGAGGCUCUGAUCUCCAUCAGCAUCAGGGCCCAUAGGGGAUUCUGAACUCUUGGAGGAUAUUUCAUCCCCUCCAAGCCUUGCCCCAUGGAAAGGGCUACACCUCCUGCAGGAAGGGGUGCCUUUUGUUAACAGGUAUUAAUGGGUACAGAGGCACCAUGCAGCCUACCAGCACCCUUGCUAGCCUAGUCCUCUUCCUGUGCUUCUUUUUGAAAGAUCAAGAAUGAAGAGGAAGAGAUGAGGAGUGGGGGUCCUUUACCUAAAGGACCCUCGUGGUUCAUUGCUUCUCUUUAACUGACUUUUUAAAAAAACUCCCUCUUCCACACUCCUUGCUGUGAUUCUGUCCUAAUCAUUUUUCUUGAGAAUGUCAUGUAGAGAUAAAUGUGUGUCACAGUGAAGCCAGAAGGUGAAUUAACAACUAAGACAAAUCCAGCAUGCUCUUGCCUGCCCUGCAUAUGUGCUCAUUUGGGGAAGGACGGAGGACACAGAGCAUCGACACAAAUUCUACAGCUCCUCAGAGAACACAGCAGAGACUCAGAUGAGCUGUAAAAUCCAUUAAGGAAAAAUAAAUGGCAUGAUUUGGAAGUUA